rnacentral:lncRNA from 10 species
GCUACAUCUUGUGUUUCUCUGGACAUUCUUCCCCUAGGCACUUACAGGAAAGAUUUGGGAAAACUUACAAAGGAGAAGAAGACAAAGAAAAAAUAAGUUGAAUAAAAAUAUAUUACAGGGAAAAUUAGUACCCUCAAAUAUGUGCCAUAAGUUUCUCCCCGUUUAUUGGAAAUGAGCUGUUUGUUGGUCUCGGAGCUUUCUAGGAAGCUAAUGAAGCAAAUGAAGUCAUGUAACCUGAAAGAAGAAAGCAUCCCAAUCAUUCUGGGGAUAAAAUGAGCACUUCUUCCUCCUUCUAAUAACUGAUAGAGAUUUCUUUCUUGGAUACUAAUAAAAGGACAUUGAGAGAUGUGGGAAUCUGCAUCCUCAACAACUUCACAAGAGUGAAGAUGCCAGUCAUUUCUUAAGGCCAUUAUUUGUAUUAUUCCUCAAUGCAAGAGAAGGACACAGUGCAGUGUCCGUAAAUUCAAGACACCCUGCUUCUACUGAGGGAUCAGAACAAUGUGCUACAAGUAUGCAUCUGUUUGUUUUAGGCUUGACCUGUUGAUAAACUUGAUGUUAGUCAGACCAGCUGUUCUCAC